GGCCUUAUGGCGUAUUGGAAACGCGUCGCCCCGAAUUCUCUGGCAUUCGGUGAUCGUUUAUUGGCGAAGAUGUUGGUUCGACUCCAACUAAGGCCC